AGUAAGCAGGCCUGGAGUAGGGAACUCUUCUAGCAAGCUGCUGAAGAGCUGCUCAAGGAGAACACCUUAGGAGGAGACAGCCCGCAGCACCUGGGGGAGAUAAGCUGGAGCUUAGGGCACAGCUGGAGGGGGCGGAGAAGGGGAGCGCCCUGCAGCAAAUUUGGCAGGGCAGCCCGUGUCCUUCCCUCCCCACCGACUGGAGCAGCUCGGAGCCCUCCCAGCAGGCGGCACGGAGGUUGGGGCCAUGGGAGCUGAGGGAGUGAAUCCUGAGAGCUGGAACCAGCUGCAAUGAGACCAGAGUGGAGAAGGAGCCAUGUCAGACUAUGGGGGAGGCACUCGCCCUUCCUGUGGCAUCAUUCACCUCCUGGUGAUGCCUGCUGCAAGGAGGGCAAGAUCUACCAUCAGUCUUGGCUGUGUGGGAGCCGAUGCCCAUGGAGAUGCUGGAGGGCACUGCUGGUCCCGGGAUGGGUGCAGGGCAUUGGGGCAUCCCCAGGAGGAGUGUGGAGCCGGCUAGGAGAGCAGGCAGCUCCUCUUGGGUUUCCGUUUGCGCUGGCUUUUCUGCAUGGCGCUCAAGGCAGCAUUGGAGGCCUCUGUGAAGAUGUUGGUGAUGUUCUCCUGGUACUUGGCCGAGCACUCGAGAUUGAUUUGCACCGGCUUGCCACCAAUCUGGAAGGAGGCAGAGUACUUCUCAAACACGGUGGGGACAUAGACCUGAGAGGAGAAAGGAGGGGAGAGUCACUGUGCUGAAAGGAAAGACAGCCAGCCAUCACUACUGCUCAGCAGGCUGGCCCAUGGGGAGCUAGUGUUCAUUCUUCCUUAGAUGCUUGUCUGUCAGUCUAUCUAAAGUACUCACAUGACCUGCAUUGCUGUAAUAACUGAGUGCCUCACAAUCUAAUGUAUUUAUCCUCGCAACACCUUUGUGAGGUAAGGAAGUAAUACUGCCGUUGUAGAGAUGGGAAACUGAGGCACCGAGCGGCGCAAGGUCACAUAGGAAGCUCUUUGGAAGAGCAGGGACUUGAAUGGAGGUCCUAAAGAUGGCCCCUAACCACUGUCCAUUCACUGCAACAGUGUGUUUUCCCUCCCCACCCAGCCAAUGUGAUGUGCUAGGGGCCAGGGUGCUUGUGCUGUGUGUCUCCCUGUUUUUUUUUUAAAUAUUGUUUUAUUUACAUGUAGAGAUGAAGCAAUAUUGAUUUUUCAGUUCAGGGGCUGAACUGAAAGGAAAAAAAAAUCAGUUUGAACCAAAAUGGAUUUUUUGGGGGCUUUUCUCAUUGAAACACAAACCAAAACCACCCACAACUGCAAGCCUUCUCCCCCAAAACCCCAGAAACCAAACCCCUGAAAUAAAAUUCAUCUUGGAUCAAAUGGAAUGUUUCAUUUGAGCUGAGACAUUUCCCUCCUAGUGUUUUGUUUCAUGAUGGAUUGUA